rnacentral:rRNA from 1 species
GAAAUAACGGCGGGAGGGCGAACAACUCUUCCGCUUGACGGUACCGAAGGAGAAAGCCCCGGCUAACUACGUGCCAGCAGCCGCGGUAAUACGUAGGGGGCGAGCGUUGUCCGGAAUUAUUGGGCGUAAAGCGCGCGUAGGCGGCUGGUUAAGUCCUGUGUGAAAGACCACGGCUCAACCGUGGGGGUGCACGGGAAACUGGCCGGCUUGAGUGCAGGAGAGGGGAGCGGAAUUCCCGGUGUAGCGGUGGAAUGCGUAGAGAUCGGGAGGAACACCAGUGGCGAAGGCGGCUCCCUGGCCUGUAACUGACGCUGAGGCGCGAAAGCGUGGGGAGCGAACAGGAUUAGAUACCCUGGUAGUCCACGCCGUAAACGAUGAGUGCUAGGUGUUGGGGGCGUCAGGCCCUCUGUGCCGAAGGUAACCCAAUAAGCACUCCGCCUGGGGAGUACGGCCGCAAGGCUGAAACUCAAAG